CAGGGAAACCGAGUCUUAACUGGGCGUUAAGUUGCAGGGUAUAGACCCGAAACCCGGUGAUCUAGCCAUGGGCAGGUUGAAGGUUGGGUAACACUAACUGGAGGACCGAACCGACUAAUGUUGAAAAAUUAGCGGAUGACCUGUGGCUGGGGGUGAAAGGCCAAUCAAACCGGGAGAUAGCUGGUUCUCCCCGAAAGCUAUUUAGGUAGCGCCUCGUGAACUCAUCUUCGGGGGUAGAGCACUGUUUCGGCUAGGGGGCCAUCCCGGCUUACCAACCCGAUGCAAACUACGAAUACCGAAGAAUGUUAUCACGGGAGACACACGGCGGGUGCUAACGUCCGUCGUGAAGAGGGAAACAACCCAGACCGCCAGCUAAGGUCCCAAAGUCAUGGUUAAGUGGGAAACGAUGUGGGAAGGCACAGACAGCCAGGAUGUUGGCUUAGAAGCAGCCAUCAUUUAAAGAAAGCGUAAUAGCUCACUGGUCGAGUCGGCCUGCGCGGAAGAUGUAACGGGGCUAAACCAUGCACCGAAGCUGCGGCAGCGACGCUUAUGUGUUGUUGGGUAGGGGAGCGUUCUGUAAGCCGUUGAAGGUGUGCUGUGAGGCAUGCUGGAGGUAUCAGAAGUGCGAAUGCUGACAUAAGUAACGAUAAAGCGGGUGAAAAGCCCGCUCGCCGGAAGACCAAGGGUUCCUGUCCAACGUUAAUCGGGGCAGGGUGAGUCGACCCCUAAGGCGAGGCCGAAAGGCGUAGUCGAUGGGAAACAGGUUAAUAUUCCUGUACUUGGUGUUACUGCGAAGGGGGGACGGAGAAGGCUAUGUCAGCCGGGCGACGGUUGUCCCGGUUUAAGCGUGUAGGUGUGUGUUCCAGGCAAAUCCGGUUCACUUUAACACUGAGGCGUGAUGACGAGGCACUACGGUGCUGAAGUGAUAAAUGCCCUGCUUCCAGGAAAAGCCUCUAAGCAUCAGGUAACACGAAAUCGUACCCCAAACCGACACAGGUGGUCAGGUAGAGAAUACCAAGGCGCUUGAGAGAACUCGGGUGAAGGAACUAGGCAAAAUGGUGCCGUAACUUCGGGAGAAGGCACGCUGAUAUGUAGGUGAAG
rnacentral:rRNA from 1 species